rnacentral:rRNA from 1 species
GAUGAACGCUGGCGGCGUGCCUAAUACAUGCAAGUCGAGCGAACAGACGAGGAGCUUGCUCCUCUGACGUUAGCGGCGGACGGGUGAGUAACACGUGGAUAACCUACCUAUAAGACUGGGAUAACUUCGGGAAACCGGAGCUAAUACCGGAUAAUAUAUUGAACCGCAUGGUUCAAUAGUGAAAGACGGUUUUGCUGUCACUUAUAGAUGGAUCCGCGCCGCAUUAGCUAGUUGGUAAGGUAACGGCUUACCAAGGCAACGAUGCGUAGCCGACCUGAGAGGGUGAUCGGCCACACUGGAACUGGGACACGGUCCAGGCUCCUACGGGAGGCAGCAGUAGGGAAUCGUCCGCAGUGGGCGAAAGCCUUGCGGAGCAACGCCGCGUGAGUGAUGAAGGUCUUCGGAUCGUAAAACUCUGUUAUUAGGGAAGAACAAAUGUGUAAGUAACUAUGCACGUCUUGACGGUACCUAAUCAGAAAGCCACGGCUAACUACGUG